CAGGCGCAUCCUUUACACAUGCAAGUCGAACGAAGCCUUCGGCUUUAAGUGGCGCACGGGUGGUUAAACCCGUGGGAAUCUGCCCUUGGGUUCGGAAUAACAGUGAGAAAUUACUGCUAAUACCGGAUGAUGUCGAAAGACAAAGAUUUAUCGCCCGAGGAUGAGCCCGCGUAGGAUUAGCUAGUUGGUGAGGUAAAAGCUCACCAAGGCGACGAUCCUUAGCUGGUCUGAGAGGAUGAUCAGCCACACUGGGACUGAGACACGGCCCAGACUCCUACGGGAGGCAGCAGUGGGGAAUAUUGGACAAUGGGCGAAAGCCUGAUCCAGCAAUGCCGCGUGAGUGAUGAAGGCCUUAGGGUUGUAAAGCUCUUUUACCCGGGAUGAUAAUGAACAGUCCGGGAGAAUAAGCUCCGGCUACUUCCGUGCCAGCAGCGGGGUAUUACGGAGGAGCUAGCGUAAUUCGAAUUACUGGGCGCAAAGCCACGUAGGCGGCUUUGUAGUCAGAGUGAAAGCCUGAGCUCAACUCCAGAACUGCCUUUGAGACUGCAUCGUUGAAUCCAGGAGAGUGAGUAGAAUCCGAGUGUAGCUAAGGGGAAAAAGUAAUUGAAUUUCUACGUAUAGCGUGAAGCCUAGAUUCGUCCCUAUCCUAAGUGACCGUUUCCGGAACCCGUUUAGAGGCCUUAGGUUAAUAAUCUCUUCUAACGAUUCU
rnacentral:rRNA from 1 species